UAGCUCAGAUGGUAAAGAAUCUGCCUGCAAUGCAGAAGACCCAGGUUCAGUUCCUGG
rnacentral:tRNA from 1 species